UGAGUUCAUUUUAUGAGUAUGAAGAAUAAUAACAUAGCAAGUAAGAUGGAGUGACAAGAUGCAGCUCACUAAUGCUGAGUCAAAAGAACAAGUCUCAUAUCGGAAUAUGAAGACAGAGAUAAAAGGAUAAGAGAGAUGAUGAGCUCUUGCCACUUUGGAUCUUUACACCUUCAGUACCUGAAGAAAGUCUGAGAUUUGCUGGCAGGUAUUUUGUCACAUCAACAGAAAGCUAACACAGACAGUGAUGAACAAGGAAAUAACCAAUUGAAUUUCCUUUUAACAUUACCUCCAUAUAGUGGCACUGCUUCCUUGAAGUAUACAUAAGACCUUCCCUGGGAAGCCAGAGUGAUCACACAGUAUUAUAGUGAUUAUGCAUGAACCCAAUAAGGCAAAUAUUCAUUUCUAAAACCAGUCAGGAAUGCUACAGUGGACAAUCAAUCAAGUAAAACUGUAUUUACAUAAUAUAGGUGCUUUCUGAAUAGUGGUGCAUUCUUGGUAGCUAAAGAAUGUAUUGUUAUUCAUUGAGAAUUCUUCAAGAAACAAUUAGAGAGAUUUCUAUUUCUGUUAGUGCAAUAAGUUCAAAUAAUUGAAAGAUGGAAGAAAAUACUAUUCAUAAUUUCCUUUACAAUUAUCCACUCUAGCUCCAAUGAUUAAUUGUGGCUCUUCUUAUUUGAUGGUUGUACAGUAAGAGUAUAUUAUUUAAAUAUACACAUUUCAAUUAUCAUAAUAAUAUAUCCAAUAGGACACUGGAGAAAUGCCAAGAAUCUUGUAUACAAUACAUAUUUCGAGGUGAUUUCAUUUUUAUCAGAUAACACAAGACAAGAAUAUUUGCAGACUUUUGACAAUUUUGAUGACUCCACUCCACUCACAUUAUUAUAUGAAUGACAAUGAAUUCAACAGAGGAGACAUUUAUAGAGAAUUAGAUUCCAAUUUUCAUUUUCUUUUCUUAUGACAUUUUCAUUUCUUAAAUGAUUCUCUUUGUAAAAUGAAAGACUUCUUUUUGUUAUUCUUAAUGUGUAUUGUGUUCAAAGAACUAUUAUGAAAGAACAUGAGGAGAAUUACCUUCCUUUCAAACUUUAUAUUUGAAAAUUUUAAGGUUCUUUGUGUCUAGAAAGAAAUGAAGUCAUUGUUCCAUUUCUCAGUGUGGACGACUGAAUCUUUUAUGCUCACUCUAGCAAGCAUAUAGGACCAUAAUAUAUUGGUGCCACUAUAUUUUAAACCUGUUGCUAACCUAGUAAAGAAAUAAUAUUUUUUUUAGGAACUAUUGGUUUUAAGUCAUUGCACUGACAUAUGAUUAUAGAUUUUUAUGUGGAAGCUUUUAUAAUAUAAAACCUGAAGAAAAUGAAAGACGGUGGGUCUUGUGAAAUAUACCAAUGCAUGCAUGUAUAUAUAAGUACACAAAUACACUGUGUAGUUGAGUCUUGAAAGAGUCUUUAGAAGCCAUUUACACAGCAUGUGGGAGGCCUCAGAAGUCUUUCCACUGUGAUGUCACUGAUGAAUGAGUAGCCAAAUAGUUAACCAGUUCACCAGAAUGGAUUCCUUUAUUCUUACUCAUCUUCUCCACCAAUACGCCUGAGUCUUGUCUACUUCUGGCCAGGUUUCACAUCUGCAUAAGUGCUGAUGCUGAGAUGUCCGAGGUGUCCCGGCCAGACCCAGAGUGUUAUCCUUUAUCCCCUCCUUUUGCAGUCAAGUGAGUUGAUUUGGAACAGGAAGUGGUAUUGAGUGACACAGCUAAACCUACAUAUGCACAAAUGAUUCUCCAGCAGUACUUCAGAAUAUAAUUUAGCAAUAACAUAUACAUGAGAUGGGUUGUUUUUUUACAAUAACUGAAAUUCAGAUAAUAACUUAGAAAUAAGAGCAAGAUUCUUACAAAGCAACGUACUAAGCACUCGAUUCUUUACUUAAGAAAAAUUCAAUCCUAAAAUAAGCAGCAAGAUAUCGGGGUUUUAUAAUUUCAGGAUGCAGAAGGCAUUCUAAGGAUCCCAUUAAAAUAAUUAUUAUUUCAAAAUGAUAUUUUUACACAAAACAGAAAUACACAUAUAAGAAAUUAACUGGAAAGUUACAAUAAAAAUUGAAGUGCCCAAAUUUUCUAAGACACGGUUAUGAUAAACAUUUGGGUAUUAGCUUUGAUGUUCAUUAACAGCUCUCAAAUUGUGCAGCACAAAGACAUUUAUCUAAGUGAAUGAUCUUCAAAGAACAUUGUAUUUUGCUACAGUAAGAUAGAAUGUUUGAAUCUGUGCCUUAACAUAACAUGUUACAUUUGAACCGUGGGUCCCAGUGGAUUGUGGACAGGUGUCUCCUCUUCAGGAUUCAGGAGACAGAAGCAGGUAUCCUUUGGGAGGUACAUUACUUGUCAGAGAAAGGAUUGAAAAUGUGAAAAGAGAAGCAUGCCAUGCUUUUUUAGAAAGGCUCUGCUCAUCGAUGAAAGAUAUUGUAUCUGUUCAUGUGAAAAGGGAAAAGUUCAACUUGAUUUCCUACAUGCUAGGCAUGAAUGCACCUUGCAGGAGGCUCCAAAAGCCUCUUGAGAUUAGGUGGGGGCUGUGUAAUCCUCAUACACAAAGGAGGAGCAAAUAUUUGUGACAAAUAAAAUUAUAUUUUCACUUGAUAUAUAGACCCCACACAAAAGCAUUAAAUAAGGAAUGGUCAGUAAUAUAUGUAUAACCAGAUGAAGAAAUAAAAGAGAAAUUAGCAAUAUAAUGGAAAUUUUGGUACGGGUGAGAAAAUAAAUUAUUUUGACUUUUCUGCUAAUAGUUUGAUUUUUCCCACCAACUUUAUUUAAUUUUGAUCAGAAAUCAAAGUAAAGGGGAAAAUUUGUUGAUAGUUCAUGAAAGAUAUUUAUCACACUGUGUUUUUAAACACACACUGGACAUCUUUGUAAUGCCCCAGGGAAUUACUGAAAUAAACUUUAGCACAUUUAUAUGUAAAAUGCUAGAGUGCCAUUAAAAUUGGUCUGAACUUUCAUUUAAAAAGUCAAUGAAAUCAGCUGAGACUCGAGGCCACUCUGAAGUGUCUCACUCUGCCAGUCCCAGUGCCCGUGGUGACUUCUAGUUAUUUAAAUAUUUGAUGACCUCUUCUAGGUACCUGUUCGUGUUUUGAAAAUUAUGUUAUGGUGGACAGACCUUGCAUGCCAUUAAAACGUUUUGGAAAAUCGGACCUAAUUCAAGCACGUAAGCUGUAGUAGACACUGUAAGACUAGACGGCACGUUUUCUCUGCUCGGAUCUGGAGGAGAGACAGGUGAGAAACUGUCUUCAGUGCCAGCUACCCAGGUAACCCUUUGCACAGCUCUGUCAAGUGAAGCAUUUUUAGACAUUUCAGACACACACACUGUGCACCGUUCGCUUGCUCUCUGUCAGAGCCUUCUGUGUCCUAUAAUUUUGAACUCUAAAAAUACUCUGCGGUGAAAUAUUGAUUUCCUCUCUUAAUUUCUGCUCACUCUGCAGUGGGAUGCUUGGUAAGGAUUCCAUCCUGAGAUCGUACCCGAGCUGCACUUUGUUCUUUUGUAAAGAAACACAAGGUGUCUUUGUAUGUUCCUUCAGGUACUAUAGUUUUUCAUGAGCUUUGCAUUAUGGCACAAUCAAAAGAUGAAUAUUAUUUAUUUUUAGCACCUGAUAAUGAGAAAAUAUGCAGUGUGUUUAUAGAUUUUUCAAAGAAGAUAAAUGCAUAUCAAUGAAAAGAUUGUGACAAUAUUUAUUAUUUGGUUUCAUUUAUUCUUUAGUAUGUUGUUCUGGAAUAAACUGCAAUAUCUGCGACUCUGUAAACUUUCAUCAGAAUGUUAACUGUAAUGAAUACGUUGUGGUCAUUUUAUUUUAUUUUUUUAAGGUUUGGCAUCUUUUUCUUAAGUCCAGGUUUC